GGGCAUGUCGGUUAGAUGAUUACCUCCCACAGUUUUAGUUUUAGUCUUCAAAAUAGAUCUUAGUUCAGUUCUACAGAAUCAAAAUUAUCAGAUACAGUUAACCAGUAUCAGUAAAUCAGUUUUCAAUAAUUUUAUAUAUCAGUUGCUCAUUAUUAGAAUUCAGGACUUACCUUCAGACAUGCUUAGUCACAGUAUUUAUUUAUA
rnacentral:lncRNA from 1 species